rnacentral:rRNA from 1 species
UACGUAGGGUGCGAGCGUUAAUCGGCAUUACUGGGCGUAAAGCGUGCGCAGGCGGUUUUGUAAGCCAGAUGUGAAAUCCCCGGGCUUAACCUGGGAAUGGCAUUUGGGACUGCAAGGCUCGAGUGCGGCAGAGGAGACUGGAAUUCCUGGUGUAGCAGUGAAAUGCGUAGAUAUCAGGAGGAACACCGAUGGCGAAGGCAGGUCUCUGGGCUGACACUGACGCUCAUGCACGAAAGCGUGGGGAGCAAACAGG